CACGGGGGGAGCAAGCGUUGUUCGGAAUCACUGGGCGUAAAGGGCGUGUAGGCGGUCAGGUAAGUGGGAUGUGAAAUGCCCCGGCUCACCCGGGGACCGGCAUCCCAUAUUGCUUGGCUUGAGUACGGGAGAGGAUGUGGGAAUUCCUGGUGUAGCGGUGAAAUGCGUAGAUAUCAGGAGGAACACCGGUGGCGAAGGCGCACAUCUGGCCCGAUACUGACGCUGAGGCGCGAAAGCUAGGGGAGCAAACGGG
rnacentral:rRNA from 1 species